rnacentral:rRNA from 1 species
GACUAACGCUGGCGGCGUGCCUAACACAUGCAAGUCGAACGGUAACAUGUUUGUAGCAAUACAAAUGAUGACGAGUGGCGCACGGGUGAGUAAUACAUAAACAAUCUUCCCUUUAGACGGGGAUAACCUUGGGAAACCAGGGCUAAUACCCGAUAAGUUCCUCGAGUGGCAUCACUUGAGGAAGAAACCCCGCAAGGGGGCUGAUGGAUGAGUUUGUGUCUGAUUAGCUAGUUGGUGAGGUAAUGGCUCACCAAGGCGAUGAUCAGUAGCUGGUCUGAGAGGAUGGUCAGCCACACUGGAACUGAGACACGGUCCAGACUCCUACGGGUGGCAG